ACGAAAGUGGGAGCACCUCUUGUCUGAAAGAGUCGUUCUCUGAUUGCACAUAGGUGUCAGAAAAGCUGCCGUUCACAGUAUUUUCCCUGGUGUUCACUUGCACCUCUGAAACUCCUGUCGUGGAUCUGGUUUUCAACUGUUAUUUAAUAGUUGAAGAAUUAGGAUUUGCACCUAUUUAGAGGGAAUGGAUACAGUACACCCUUCUCAAACCAUUUUUUUUUCCAAUUUAAUGCUUAAGUGGUCAUUGAUGGCUUUCGAUGAGAGUAAUAUGUCUUAUGAUUUCCAAACUGUAACUAACUCAAGUUAACGAGGAGAAUUUCACUUAAUGGCACCAAUUCUUGAUGGCUAAACUCGCUGGAGGUAAUCUGAAUGAAAAGACUGACUUUGUCGUUUCUCUUUCUGCACCCACAAAAGGGGGAAAAGAACUAACUGCUGAUAGUUAUUGCUUUCAUCUGUACCAUUUCCAGCUUGCAUUUACUGUCACGAAACACACUUGUGUUUAAUUCCACAUAUUUUAGUAAUUGUUGCAAACUGGAGAAGAGGUAUCAAGCACUUAUCUCUAGGAGAACUUAAGUAUGGUAUUUCAAAGCCAGGAAGAGGAAGAAGAGCGUUACCUCCUUGUCUUCCAGGGGAAAAGAAAGACCUUUGAAGGAUCCAUGGGUGAGCAGCAGUGGAUGUGCAGUGAAAUUCACAGCAGGCAGAUGGGAACGUGGAGAAAUUCUACAAACCUUUGGGAGCCAGACAGCUCCAACCUCAAGAAG
rnacentral:lncRNA from 1 species